rfam:Ixodes scapularis strain Wikel colony gcontig_1107729085186, whole genome shotgun sequence.
GCAGCCGUGGCAGAAUGCUUAAGGCGAUGGGUUAGAAAUCCAUUGGGGUCUCCCAGCACAGGUUCGAAUCCUGUCAACUGCG